rnacentral:lncRNA from 1 species
UACAAUUUAUCAACAAUACAAUUCAUAAAUUUUUAUUAAAAUCUACCAAAAAUUUAACUUAUGUAAACCAAACGGGGUCGUAGUUAUAAAUACGACUAUGUGCCCACGAGGCAUAUUUCAAUGGUGCAAAUAAUAAUGAUGAGAUAUACUCAACCUUACUUACCGCAGUAAUAUAAGGGUUCGAUUCCUGAAAUAUGGAUUGAGACUCUUUGUGAGCACUAGAGUACAGACAACUCUUGUUCUCUGACCUGUUGGAGCACAUCCCGUAAUUAACUUCUCUCACUAUACUCCAGGUGUGGGGCGGUGAGGAGCCUUAAGGUUGGGCUUAACUUUUUUUAUAAAUUCAACUAUGUCGUUCCGAGUGACACGUGGCACAUAAGUGUGUUUCCACUUGUAGUCCCUUUCCAGUCCCGACGAAAAUCGUGUACUACUCUCGCUCAAAUCACUCAUUUUUUUCUGAUGCAAAUAUUUGGAAAGAAAUUGUUAUUCUCGAUUCUGAAUUAGGUAUUGAAGGUGUAGAAAUGCAAGCUAAUCCAAUUACCAGGAUUUUCAGUGCAAUCGUCCUCUCUUUACCUACCCGGUAAGUCUUUUGCUCCAAACUUGUAUUACGAUUUUUUUCUUGGUUUUUUAAUGUGUUAUUUCAGAGCUUCAUAAGCUUUUAUAUACCUUGAAUGGAGAUGAAUACGCAUAUAUAUACGUAUAUGGUAUAUGUUUAUGUGUGUUGAACUAUUGAAGCAUUCAUUUGACGGUAUACUAUUUUUAUGCUGCAUUUCAUAAGUGCAUAUUAUUCGAGGACCCUGUUCACUUUGAUCAAUUAUUAUCGAUUUUCCUUUUUCUCUUGUUAACUUUUCUUAGGCAAAAGUCUAAUUAGUAAUAAUGGUGACUUCUCUUUGAAUUUUAAGUUUCUGCUUAUGUCUAGAAUCACCAAAGGCAUAUGAGGUAAGUAAAAGUAUUAAAUUGACCUUUCUAAGUGAGAUUUCAAAUAAAAAUGAAGCAUUUUAAACUGCCUUCAUCUUUUCGGUGUUGCAUGUGACUCUGCGAAUUUCUGGAGAAUUGAUCAUUGUGGCUUAUUUUUAAUGAAACCUAUGACAAGCGUAUUAACAAAAUAAGCCUACUGAUGAAAAGGAUAGAAACAGGGUUACCUUAUGUCAUGAAGAUCGUGUAAGUUAGGAUCAUAGUUAACAAUGUCCUGUUUCUGGCAAAUCAGUUUUUUUGACCUAUUGCUUCCUUGUUAACUGGGUUUUUGGUCUGUGGUGAGUGCAGCCAAUAUAUUUUUCUCAACUUAUGAUUGGCGUUCACUGCAUUAAUAUCAUGGAACACAUGUUGAAGUUUUGAGCUGGA